GCUUUGUCUGUUUUCAUAAGGUGAAGUCUAGGAUCUUUCCUUUAGCAAAUCUUUGCUGACAAUUUCAUCAAAGGUUUGUUAAGUUAUACCAUGAAUUAACCCUUAAACAAGGUUUGUUAAGUUAUACCAUGAAUUAACCCUUAAACUGUCCAAACGUAGAUCUACAUUUACACUGGUAGUGCUCCGAAUGUAGAUCUAUGUUUUAUUUUUCAUUCCUUCAAAAUUGGCACAAUAGGCCUGAGUCGCUUAGACACGAGAGAAUGGGACCUCCUUCCCUGCAACAGAUUCACUCUGUUACUACAAAUGUUGCACUUCUUGGACAGGAAUACAGUGGACCCCCGCUUAACGAUCACCUCCAAAUGCGACCAAUUAUGUAAGUGUAUUUAUGUAAGUGCGUUUGUACGUGUAUGUUUGGGAGUCUGAAAUGGACUAAUCUACUUCACAAUAUUCCUUAUGGGAAAAAAUUCGGUCAGUACUGGCACCUGAACAUACUACUGGAAUGAAAAAAGUUCCUUAACCGGGGGUCCACUGUACGUCCAACAGAAAUGACCUGCUAUACAAAAUCUGGGAAUUGUUUAUGUAUGUGAAGCAAAAAUUCACUGCCUACUUUUAUCCAUUCAAGAACAUUGUUGGCGAUGAGUCCUUGAUUCUGUUCAAGGGACGGCUGCCAUUCAAACAAUAUAUACCAAGCAAACAUAAUUGCUUUGGUAUAAAACUCUGUUAUGUGAGACUGGUACUGUGUUGGAUGUCAUAAUCUACACAGGGAAGAAUACACUCGAUGAUACCAGGCCCAUGUUGGGCAUUUCUGGUGAUGUUUGCAAGAUGAUGGAGCCAUACCUUGGCAAGGUUCAUACAUUGUUCACAGACAACUGGCAUACAAGCCCUAUGCUUGCUGAUUUCCUCUGUGUGAACAAUAUCAACAUAUGUACGCCUACCAUCCGACUUACGACCGAGUUCGGUUCCAAGAAACCGGUCGUAAGUCGAAAUGGUCGUAAGUCGAACUUUACUACUGAAUAUCAACAAAACAUUUUUGUAAUGACUAUUUUAUUGUUUUAUUUUGGUAUUUCAUGUUUUACUUUACUUUUUAAUGUUGUUAGUACUGUAUUUUAUACUGUAAGGUUGAGGAUAAACACUGUGUACAACACAAAUAGUUGUUUAUUUCCCAGAAAUUUGGCAUAAAAAACACGGUCGUAAGUCAAGUGGUCGUACGUCGAGCAGGUCGUAAGUCGGAUGGUAGGUGUAUGUGGAACAGUGAGAGGAAAUAGAAAACACAUGCCAAGGUUCACUGGCAGUAUUGCUAAUGCUGCAGUGCAAGCGUUUCAUGCCAAUGACUUCAUGGCACUGACGUGGCAUGACAAACAGAUCAUGAUGUUGCUGUCAACUAUCUACAGAAAUGAGAAGAUACAAACAGACAAAGUGAACAGGGAUACCAGUGAACAUGUAUUGUAAAGCCAGCUGCUGUCGUGGACUAGACAAACAAUGUACGACUUGCCGACAAGUGUGACAUGCAAAUAGGGUUUGUUGACUGUGUGCGUAGGGUUUGUGAGUGUUAUACGAAAGUAUUUUCUCCACCUUGUAGAUAUUGCAAUGCUCAGUGCCUUCAACAUGUAUGAAAUGAAGACUGGGAAGCGACAAUGAUAUGCGGAAUUCACCCUCAAUGUCAUCAAGCAGACAGUGAAAAAGUAUGGUACCACACCUGUACCUGCCCCUCCACAGCGACCUUUCACCCCACAACUGUGACCUUUCACCCCCCAACAGUGACCUGUCACCCCACAACCAGAGGGAAAAGUGCCCAACCAAGUAAUCCCUAACUGUCACUGCCUGACACUGAUACCAUCUACCCCAAAGAAGAAGUAUUCGCAGAAGAAUUGUGUUGUGUGUGCUUACACUACAAGGUGACCCCAAGUGUGAAGAGACACGAUUCAUAUGUCAGCAUUGUGGGGUGGCACUCUGUAUGAAUCCAUGCUUCAUGGAGUAUCAUACAGUGGUGGACUUCUAGAAACAUAAAUGGGACCUGUAAAUACCUUGUAUAUGUUUGUAAACAAUAGUAUGUGAUUGAACCAGAUGUACAAAUUCAUCUUAUCAGUGUGAAUAUGUGUGUUUGUGACAGUGUGAUUACUAAUUCAGUACCAAACAUUUGUGUCUUAACAAGAAUUGGCUAUGAAAACAAGAAUUGGCUAUGAAAUCAAAAGAUCUGCAAAAAAACAUUAUUAUCAUAACAUUAAAACAACAAAAAAUAGAAAAGAAUUGGAAAAAACGAUAAAUCUUUAUAAUUCCUGCAAGUGGCAGUGCUCCAUAUUGCCGACACCUCAUCAUUUAGCGCCAAAUUCGUGGGCUUAUAUCUCGAGAUGCUAGUGUUCCUGUGGCCUCAUGGACUUGAAUACUUCAGUCCAGGAAAUGCUGAAGCAAGUUCUUAAGGCUGAUGGUCUUGCUCAUGGACUCCAUGAAGCUGUGAAUGUUUUAGACAGAUGUAGGUGUUCCUAUAGGGGUCAGUGACUCCAUGGAAGUGCUAACACAAGCUCUUAUGACUGAUGAUCUUUCUUGUGGACUCCAGGAAGCUCUGAAGGCUUUACACAAUCACUAGGUUCUUCUGUGCUUGUUAGCAAAUAACUGUGAUGAACUUGGCUACUCAAAACUUGAAGCUCUGCAUCAGAUCAAGCUCCUGAAGGUUGACUCUCACAAGAAGUUAGGAAUGGGUUGAUGAUGCAGGAUUAGCCCUGAAGAGGAAGGACUUGCAAGAUCAUAAGCUGCUUAUGCCUGCCUUACCUGUGUAGGUGUUCCUAUAGGGGUCAGUGACUCCAUGGAAGUGCUAACACAAGCUCUUAUGACUGAUGAUCUUUCAUGUGGACUCCAGGAAGCUCUGAAGGCUUUACACAAUCACUAGGUUCUUCUGUGCUUGUUAGCAAAUAACUGUGAUGAACUUGGCUACUCAAAACUUGAGGUUCUGCAUCAGAUCAAGCUCCUACAAGUUGACUCUCACAAGAAGUUAGGAAUGGGUUGAUGAUGCAGGAUUAGCCCUGAAGAGGAAGGACUUGCAAGAUCAUAAGCUGCUUAUGCCUGCCUUACCUGACUGGUAGAGAGACCCAGGCUUAUGAUAGUCAGUAUUUCGGCAUAAGGGACAG